rnacentral:rRNA from 1 species
AGAGUUUGAUCAUGGCUCAGGAUGAACGCUGGCGGCGUGCUUAACACAUGCAAGUCGAACGAACCUUCGGGUUAGUGGCGGACGGGUGAGUAACGCGUGAGAAUCUGCCCUCAGGAGGGGGAUAACGGUUGGAAACGACCGCUAAUACCCCAUAUGCCUACUGGUGAAAUGAAUUUCGCCUGAGGAUGAGCUCGCGUCUGAUUAGCUAGUUGGUGAGGUAAUGGCUCACCAAGGCUUCGAUCAGUAGCUGGUCUGAGAGGAUGAUCAGCCACACUGGGACUGAGACACGGCCCAGACUCCUACGGGAGGCAGCAGUGGGGAAUUUUCCGCAAUGGGCGAAAGCCUGACGGAGCAACGCCGCGUGAGGGACGAAGGCCUCUGGGCUGUAAACCUCUUUUCUCAAGGAAGAAGAUAUGACGGUACUUGAGGAAUAAGCCACGGCUAAUUCCGUGCCAGCAGCCGCGGUAAUACGGGAGUGGCAAGCGUUAUCCGGAAUUAUUGGGCGUAAAGCGUCCGCAGGCGGCUUUUCAAGUCUGCUGUUAAAGCGUGGAGCUUAACUCCAUCAUGGCAGUGGAAACUGAAAGGCUUGAGUAUGGUAGGGGCAGAGGGAAUUCCCGGUGUAGCGGUGAAAUGCGUAGAUAUCGGGAAGAACACCAGUGGCGAAGGCGCUCUGCUGGGCCAUUACUGACGCUCAUGGACGAAAGCCAGGGGAGCGAAAGGGAUUAGAUACCCCUGUAGUCCUGGCCGUAAACGAUGAACACUAGGUGUCGGGGGAAUCGA